UACGCAGGAAGGUGUGCUCCAAUGCGUA
rnacentral:sRNA from 1 species